rnacentral:rRNA from 1 species
AGUGAACGCUGGCGGUAGGCCUAACACAUGCAAGUCGAACGGCAGCACAGUAAGAGCUUGCUCUUACGGGUGGCGAGUGGCGGACGGGUGAGGAAUACAUCGGAAUCUACUUUUUCGUGGGGGAUAACGUAGGGAAACUUACGCUAAUACCGCAUACGACCUACGGGUGAAAGCAGGGGAUCUUCGGACCUUUCGCGAUUGAAUGAGCCGAUGUCGGAUUAGCUAGUUGGCGUGGUAAAGGCCCACCAAGGCGACGAUCCGUAGCUGGUCUGAGAGGAUGAUCAGCCACAAUGGAACUGAGACACGGUCCAGACUCCUACGGGAGGCAGCAGUGGGGAAUAUUGGACAAUGGGCGCAAGCCUGAUCCAGCCAUACCGCGUGGGUGAAGAAGGCCUUCGGGUUGUAAAGCCCUUUUGUUGGGAAAGAAAAGCAGCAGGUUAAUACCCCGCUGUUCUGACGGUACCCAAAGAAUAAGCACCGGCUAACUUCGUG